AUUGAACGCUGGCGGCAUGCCUUACACAUGCAAGUCGAACGGCAGCACGGGAGCAAUCCUGGUGGCGAGUGGCGAACGGGUGAGUAAAGUAUCGGAACGUGCCCAGUCGUGGGGGAUAACGUAGCGAAAGUUACGCUAAUACCGCAUACGAUCUAUGGAUGAAAGCGGGGGAUCGCAAGACCUCGCGCGAUUGGAGCGGCCGAUAUCAGAUUAGGUAGUUGGUGGGGUAAAGGCUCACCAAGCCGCCGAUCUGUAGCUGGUCUGAGAGGACGACCAGCCACACUGGGACUGAGACACGGCCCAGACUCCUACGGGAGGCAGCAGUGGGGAAUUUUGGACGAUGGGCGAAAGCCUGAUCCAGCCAUGCCGCGUGCAGGAUGAAGGCCUUCGGGUUGUAAACUGCUUUUGUACGGAACGAAAAGGUUUGGCCUAAUAAGCUGAGCUCAUGACGGUACCGUAAGAAUAAGCACCGGCUAACUACGUGCCAGCCGCCGCCGUAAAAC
rnacentral:rRNA from 1 species